GUGCAUGCAUUGGCCGCUUGAUCAAUGAGCUCCCUUCUUAUCCCGGGCACCGCACGGUCUCUUGGCCGGUUAUGGUCAUCGGGGAUGAGUUGGCCUGGCAGCGUCGGCCACAACCACGGCUUCAGCGACCCCCGUUUCGUCCACUAGAGCCCCUUGUGCAAAUCAGCGCAGUCCAGCACCGCCUAAGCCACCAAGAGACCCCGCGUGUCUGUCCCCCACCCUGUGCAUGCUACAACAUCGUCGUCAUGUCCUGAGAGGCAUAGAGCGCGCCUUCUACAGCCGCCGCGCCCAUGAGCGUCGUUCCAUCGAGCAACGGAAUCACCGUGGAUUAGAGCUCGAUCAUUGGUAAAAUGGGACCCCCUAGAAUUGUUGUAGGUGUCCCAGCCGUCGUAAGCAUCUAUGGAUCCCUCUGGAUCGCCGUGAUCGGCUCCGGAAUUAACCCCGCUUCGGCACCUCCUCGCACGCCUAUAAAUAGAGGACCCCAAGCCUCCACAGCAACCCAACAGCUCUCCACCUCUCAGCAGACCCACCCCCAGCCCCUCGAAGGACCUAGGGAGGGUCGUCUUUCCCUCCUCCGGUAGCCCCAAUCAGCUUUGGGUUCCGGCAAAAUUCACUCUAGUCCUUCCGGCGAGAUCGACCUGCACUCGAAGCCGCCAUCCGCUGCAGUGGGAGUCGACAUCGACGUGGUGCUCGCCCACGAACCCUUCCACCACCCACCAUUGCGGAGGAAUCAUGUGAGCGGCGAUUGUGAGGACGACGCAAUUGUAUCAUGGCGGGAGCUGUAACCAACAGGAAUGGCGAGCAUGCCUGCAGCCGGGACGUGAGGUUGCCGCGACAACCGAUGACACACGUGGACAACUAUGAUCUAUGAGGGCGUGGUGCGACCUGCCAUGAGGUUUGUGUAAAGUAGUGAAAGUGGCAGAAUGAUGGAACAGUCUUUUCAUUGAUGAAGAUGUGGGUAUUUAUACCCCUGUUA